rnacentral:lncRNA from 1 species
AUUUUGUUAACAGAAAUGGUUCAAUUCUUCUUUCAACAAAAUGUCCAACUUUGAGCAAAUCUUCAGCAUGGACAUUCGUACUACACAAGACCUUCAUUAAAAAAUUGAUGGGACACAAAAUCGUUGGAAAUUAAAGUGUCAAACAAAGAACCGGAAGCUUCAAAAUCCAAUAACAAACUUGUUGAUGUAAGACCUUUUCAAAAUUAGAAGUGGACAUAUGUGUUAUCUUUAACAUUGCCUCAGGUAAAAAGUAUUAUCCAAACAUAAUGGGAACCUAACAUCAAUUUGCAACAUAACUCAGCAAAUAAAAUCAAUGUGGGUAUGAAAAUGCUAUCCAUCACUUCUCAUGAGAUUGAAGUUUACUAAUCACAAUAAAGAUGGCUAGUCACCAAUUCAAGGAACAACACCCACAUAGGCCCGGAAACAUGCCAAAUUCAGUACCAAGACAGAUGCCAAAUAAAACUACAAAUCAGCUAGUUUGAAACUCCACAAGCAAUGAAAUUAAUUCUAUAGUCACUUUCAUCUUCCCAAUGUAUUGAGCUGAUAAGGGAAAAACCAAGGAUCAAACACUUUUCUUCAUAUCAACAUAACCAAUUUCUCACAGUAAACUUGUAGAACCAAAGCAACAUAUUGAAAUACCAUAUCCUACACUAAAUUCAUUCAAAAACUAAGACACAACACUUAAACAAACAACUGAUUACGGGUUUACUAUCAUCAGUCCUUGUGUUCAACUCCUGAACAUAAUAUUUACUUUGAAACCAAAUAUUUACUCUCACCCUCAAAUAGGACUAAUUUGUCUUUACAAAAUAUUAAAACAUGAUGAAAGAAAAUUGAAAUGACAUGUGCAACUUCAGAAUCCCUACAGAAAUACUACAAAAAUAGAAGAAACAGAGCAUCAAAGUUCAAAUAAUUUCAUGUUCAAUCAAUUUUCAUUCGACAUUUCUACAAUCAUUUGUCCUUUAUAAUUUACAGAUGUACCUGGAAAUUGAAAGGAAAAGAAGUGAGGAAAGCAGUAGACAGCAGCAGAACUGGAACUUCAGCAAUACUAAUGAAAUAGUAACACCCCUCAAAGCAACUCAAAACCAGCUUUCGAAGCCCCAAAAUCACACCAUCUUCAACCCAAGAGCAAGAUUGAAAAAUUUUCAGAGAUUUUGACCAAUUACUAAGAUCAGAAACUAGAGACGAGGCAAAUUUGAGCCAAUUUUUCAAACAAAAUCAUGCAAAGGAAAUCAGUUGCUAGACUAAAUAUGCAGUCGUUUCAAUUUUUCUGGAUUUUUUCUUCUCUUCCAAAUCUGAUUUUAGCUUAAGGUUUAAUGCCUUUAUAGACAAGCAAUUAAGCUAACUAUCAGAUUUUGAUUAUUUCUUUUAGUCCCUUUUUAAUUACUUUUUUUGCUACUUAAUCCUU